rnacentral:rRNA from 1 species
UACAGAGGGUGCGAGCGUUAAUCGGAUUUACUGGGCGUAAAGGGCGCGUAGGCGGUUUAGUGAGUGUGGUGUGAAAGCCCCGGGAUUAACCUGGGAAGUGCAUCGCAAACGACUAAACUGGAGUAUAAGAGAGGGUGGCGGAAUUUCCGGUGUAGCGGUGAAAUGCGUAGAGAUCGGAAGGAACGUCAAUGGCGAAGGCAGCCACCUGGCUUAAUACUGACGCUGAGGCGCGAAAGCGUGGGGAUCAAACAGG